rnacentral:rRNA from 1 species
AACGAACGCUGGCGGCAUGCCUAACACAUGCAAGUCGAACGAGACCUUCGGGUCUAGUGGCGCACGGGUGCGUAACGCGUGGGAACCUGCCCUUAGGUUCGGAAUAACUCCCCGAAAGGGGUGCUAAUACCGGAUAAUAUCUUCGGACCCAAGAUUUAUCGCCUUUGGAUGGGCCGGCGUUGGAUUCCCUGGUUGGUAGGGUAAAAGCCUACCAAGGCGACGAUGCAUAGCUGGUCUGAGAGGAUGAUCAGCCACACUGGGAGUGAGACACGGCCCAGACUCCUACGGGAGGCAGCAGUGGGGAAUAUUGGACAAUGGGCGGAAGCCUGAUCCAGCAAUGCCGCGUGAGUGAUGAAGGCCUUAGGGUUGUAAAGCUCUUUUACCCGGGAUGAUAAUGACAGUACCGGGAGAAUAAGCUCCGGCUAACUCCGUG